UUCUAUAUGGUUUCCUAAAAAACAUAAACUACAAAGAAACGAGUUAAAACUAGAUAAAAACUAUUAUAAACAUAAACAACAAUAAUACUACAUAAAUAAAGACACGAGGAAAGAAUUUUGCAAAUUAAAGGGAACUUCCCUGAUGAUUGAGGGCAGAGAAUAGGUGGUGAGCGUCAUCAAUCUGCUCCGUUAAUGUUCAAUCUUCCAAACCUCGAUCGACGAUUCUGGAUAUUUCUUGCAAAAAAAUUG
rnacentral:lncRNA from 1 species